UCCGGUUUGGCACCGGCAGUCUCCCUAGAGUUCCCACCUUCACGUGUUGGCAACUAAUGAUAAGGGUUGCGCUCGUUGCGGGACUUAACCCAACACCUCACGGCACGAGCUGACGACAGCCAUGCAGCACCUGUGCAGAGGUCCUUGCGGAACAUCCCAUCUCUGGAACUGUCCUCUGCAUGUCAAGCCUGGGUAAGGUUCUUCGCGUUGCAUCGAAUUAAACCACAUGCUCCACCGCUUGUGCGGGCCCCCGUCAAUUCCUUUGAGUUUCAGCCUUGCGGCCGUACUCCCCAGGCGGGGCACUUACUGCGUUAGCGACGGCACCGGGAGGGUCGCUCCCCCCGACGCCUAGUGCCCAUCGUUUACGGCGUGGACUAC
rnacentral:misc_RNA from 1 species